rnacentral:rRNA from 1 species
UGAGGAAUAUUGGACAAUGGGCGCAAGCCUGAUCCAGCAAUGCCGCGUGCAGGAUGAAGGCCUUCGGGUUGUAAACUGCUUUUGUACGGAGCGAAAAGGUCUGCCCUAAUACGGUGGGCUCAUGACGGUACCGUAAGAAUAAGCACCGGUUAACUACGUGCCAGCAGCCGCGGUAAUACGUAGGGUGCGAGCGUUAAUCGGAAUUACUGGGCGUAAAGCGUGCGCAGGCGGUUAUAUAAGACAGAUGUGAAAUCCCCGGGCUCAACCUGGGACCUGCAUUUGUGACUGUAUAGCUAGAGUACGGUAGGGGGGAUGGAAUUCCGCGUGUAGCAGUGAAAUGCGUAGAUAUGCGGAGGAACACCGAUGGCGAAGGCAAUCCCCUGGACCUGUACUGACGCUCAUGCACGAAAGCGUGGGGAGCAAACA